rnacentral:rRNA from 1 species
GAUGAACGCUGGCGGCGUGCCUAAUACAUGCAAGUCGAGCGAACAGACGAGGAGCUUGCUCCUCUGACGUUAGCGGCGGACGGGUGAGUAACACGUGGAUAACCUACCUAUAAGACUGGGAUAACUUCGGGAAACCGGAGCUAAUACCGGAUAAUAUAUUGAACCGCAUGGUUCAAUAGUGAAAUACGGUUUUGCUGUCACUUAUAGAUGGAUCCGCGCCGCAUUAGCUAGUUGGUAAGGUAACGGCUUACCAAGGCAACGAUGCGUAGCCGACCUGAGAGGGUGAUCGGCCACACUAGAACUGAGACACGGUCCAGACUCCUGCGGGAGGCAGCAGUAGGGAAUGUUCCGCAAUGGGCGAAAGCCUGACGGAGCAACGCCGCGUGAGUGAUGAAGGUCUUCGGAUCGUAAAACUCUGUUAUUAGGGAAGGACAAAUGUGUAAGUAACUAUGCACGUCUUGACGGUACCUAGUCAGAAAGCCACGGCUAACUACGUG